GGAGGAGGAGGAGGAGGAUGUGGAGGAGACUAGAGCACUGCAGAAUGUUUCUUGUUGGAUAAGAGCUUGCUCGUCAGUCGUGAUAUUUAGAUUUUUUUUUAUUUUUGACAAUAUAAUGAACAGUGUAUUGUUCGGAGUGUUAUCAGAGAGUUAUUUACGAAUUCAUAUGCACGUACAUGUACAUGAACAUUUUUGUAUAUAAUUAUGUAAAAAAAAUUAUGUGAUUAAAAUCAGUGUUGCAUCUUAGAUAUAUUGUUCUGCACCUCAGAAAGAAUCGAAUUGGAACUUUUAUACCUUUAUGUAUAUAGCAUAACUACUAUUUACGCGUACGAAGCUGAUAGUUUUUCUUUUGCGCAGCUUGUCCUAGGUUUAAGUUGAAGUGGAUUAGAAAUGCAGAUACAUUGUAUAUCAUCACUCGAAUGAGUAAGUCUGUUUAUUGGUCAAUUUAGCCUGACCAAUGAGGUACGUCGUUACAUUGCUGAUGUGAUAUAGUCAUGAUUUUUAUUAAUAUGUUAUAUUUGUUUUCAAAACUAUGACUGAGAUGUUGGUAAUUUUGCCCGGUGUGAUACGAUUAUGAGUGCAAUAACUGAUUUUAUCUGUAAAGGUAGAGGACAACACAGGGGAGCAACUAGGGGUGUGAUAUGCUAGAAAACUACAUAAAAUUUUACCGCGGUUUGACUAUAAAUGUAUAUUAAUGUCUUCUAUUGGUUGUUAAGUACAUGCUAAUACAUGUUCAAGGAUUUCAAGUACUGUUUAGAUUAUACGAAUGCAUCGGGACAUUCAUUCAGUACAACGCAGCCAGGUACCGACAAAUGAAACAAUUCCAGUCAGGUACCGUCAAUUUAAAAGAUUCCAGCCAGGUACCGACGAAUUAAAAGAUUCCAGCCAGGUACCGAUACAUUAAAAGAUGCUAGUCAGGUACCGACAAAUGAAAAGAUCCAAUCCAAGUAAAUUUGCUUAUUGUUCUAAGUGGUCUCUGUGUAAACCGGACUUCAUAAUUUGGCAGGUUUGUAGAAAGAUUAAGAUUGUAUAGAUUGUAAAUUUUAUAAUAUAGUUGUGAUAUAUAUCUUUAUAUGUAUGUAAUUAAUAUAUACACACAAAUCAGGAAACGACAUUUUAUCUGUGUUUUAUCCUAUUGUAUCUGUGGAAUACUGUUUAUUUUAUAAUGAUAGGUAUAUUGAUAUGUAAAUCUAGAACGAUAAACAACAUAACAGAGUAGUGUGCCUUGGGUACUCACUCAACAUCAUUGUGGGGUGCAUAAUUCAUCAUUCGCACUGCGAGAGAUAUAUAUACAAAUGUAUGUAUAAUAAAAUAUCACAUUUGCAAACUUGGACCAAAUUUAAAAAAAAAUCAUCGAAAAAAAACUUAUUUCCUCCAAAAGAUACUAAUUUUUGCAUUAGAUACAACUAUUUCUUUUUCACAGCCCAAAUUUCCAUUUGUCAGAGGGAAUAAUCUUUUGUUAAAAAAUAUGAACGCAAUUUUCAAUUGUAAUAUGUUACCUGCAUUAACACAAGUAGAAAAAUAAUUUAUCUUCAUAUAACAUUUUUUGUUUUGUUAAAGAACCAUUAAUCGGGAUGUGCAUUCAAGCAUUGAUAUUGAAUAAUUUUCGAGAUAAUUUUACAGAGGAAUAUAAAUAUAAUCCAUUGAUAAAACUCUUUUCAUUUGCUUAUUAUCAAUUCUGAAAUAAAUUUUAUCAAAGUCGAA